CACAUCCUUCGGGGCAGGGUGAAAUUCCCGACCGGCGGUGAUGGCACGUUUGCCUCAGUCCGUGACCCGCGUUGGCGGUGGAUUCGGUGCAACUCCGAAACCGACAGUGAAAGUCUGGAUGGGAGAAGGAUGAA
rfam:Thermoactinomyces sp. Gus2-1 c63, whole genome shotgun sequence.